rnacentral:lncRNA from 1 species
UUUAGUGUUCGAAGUUCAAGUUCAUCAUUGUCCUCAUCACUUGAGUCAUCACUCAAGUGGUAUUCAUUUGUCCGGAGUUCCAAAUCCUUCCUGUUCUUUAGAAGGUGAUUUUGUUCAUCAUGUUCAUCAUGUGCAUUGUGCACUAUUUCAUAUGUUAUCAACGAACCAAUUAGUUCUUCAAGUGAUAAGUUGUUUAGGUUUUUAG